CAGGGCUUGACAUGCUGCUGCACCGCCCAGCGAUGGGCGUGCCCGCAAGGGACAGCAGCACAGGUGCUGCAUGGCUGUCGUCAGCUCGUGCCGUGAGGUGUUGGGUUAAGUCCCCCAACGAGCGCAACCCCCAUCGUCGGUUGUACUUUUCCGGCGAAACUGCCCGCAAGGGAGGAAGGAGGGGAUGAUGUCAAGUCAGCACGGCCCUUACGUCCUGGGCUACACACACGCUACAAUGGCUGGUACAACGGGCUGCGAAGCGGCAACGCGGAGCCAAUCCCAGCAAAGCCAGCCUCAGUUCAGAUUGGCGGCUGCAACCCGCCGCCAUGAAGGUGGAGUUGCUAGUAACCGCAGGUCAGCACACUGCGGUGAAUACGUUCCC
rnacentral:rRNA from 1 species